AUGGCUUCCGAUAUUCCAUUCAUAACCGGUAUACCGGAAAAUCGCCGAUAUCGCGAGCAUCGCGAAAUUGAAAUGCUAUACCGGUUUUCGUAUCGGAUAGCCAAAAUUCUGAUACGCAAUACCGGUAUACCCGAGUUGAUAUCCACACAUAGAUGUCUUAAGAAAAGACAGAAUCUAUCUCUAAUCUAUUGGCGUGUUUGCAAAUGUGGGGUAGGAAUAGGAUAA